rnacentral:sRNA from 10 species
GUGCGGGCCCCUGGCCCUCACACUCCUCACACCCCCUGGCCCGGCGCGUCCGGGCUUU